rnacentral:rRNA from 1 species
CUACGGGCGGCUCCAGUGGGGAAUAUUGCACAAUGGGCGCAAGCCUGAUGCAGCCAUGCCGCGUGUAUGAAGAAGGCCUUCGGGUUGUAAAGUACUUUCAGCGGGGAGGAAGGGAGUAAAGUUAAUACCUUUGCUCAUUGACGUUACCCGCAGAAGAAGCACCGGCUAACUCCGUGCCAGCAGCCGCGGUAAUACGGAGGGUGCAAGCGUUAAUCGGAAUUACUGGGCGUAAAGCGCACGCAGGCGGGUUGUUAAGUCAGAUGUGAAAUCCCCGGGCUCAACCUGGGAACUGCAUCUGAUACUGGCAAGCUUGAGUCUCGUAGAGGGGGGUAGAAUUCCAGGUGUAGCGGUGAAAUGCGUAGAGAUCUGGAGGAAUACCGGUGGCGAAGGCGGCCCCCUGGACGAAGACUGACGCCCAGGUGCGAAAGCGUGGGGAGCAAACAGGAUUAGAUACCCUCGUAGUC